CCAACGGGCAGCCGGCUGCGGGGAACGGCGCCACCGAUGGUGGCAAGGAGAAGCACACGCGCGGAAGCGGCGGCGGCCUCCAUCUCCGGCUCCUUUUCAUCGCCCACGGCAGCCGGCCGAGAUCAGCCUCCUCCACCCCACCCUUCUUCGUUGCUCAAAUGGAGGAGCACGAGCAACCCUGCUGCCAUUUCUACUCUCGCAUCUUCCUCGUCAAUGCUGAAGAGGAGCACGAGAAGCCAUCAGAGUCAUCACUGCAAAAAUAGGGAUGGAUUAGAAUGUUAACCCGAGGGGAGCUGCUGCAGCCAAAGGCUAAGAUGAAACGCCUAAUCUGUUGUGACCUCGGCUCCACCCGAUCUUGCCGGAUUUGCAUCUUUCCCAGAUGCUUUUUAAUCUAUGCUAAGGUGCUUGAUGAAAUUCCAAGCAGACUGACAUGGAAGAUUUAGCUAUGUGAUAUUUGUUCUUUGUGGUCUACCUACUAUUUUUUUCUUCUUCUGAAUUGAGCUCCAUUCAACUAUAAAUUUGUAGUCCAUCUGGCUUUGGUCAGAUCUAGGAGAGAAAAGAGAGAGAGUUCGGUGAAAAAGAAUGUGUUUUUCCCCAGUGAACAGAAUCAAGUUCGUUCUUGCCUUUUGAUGUUAUAUGGUCUGUGGUACAGUAAACAUGAGUAUUGACCAUAAAUGUUUCUGUAUAUGUAUGCUGGAAAGUGGAAACUAGACAUUCUAAUAUUCGUUUGGAUAUCUUCUGCAGGAAUUUGAGGCUGCUACAUCAUUCCAUUUGGUUGAGCUUCCUAAAAUCAAAGGGACAUGUUGGACUUUCAAGAUAUAAUAUCUCAGGUCUUAAACUUCUCAUUUCUGUUGCCAAACUAUUUGAAUAAGUUCGACUUUCAUGUCUCUUAGACAGUUGACAUCAUUUGUUAAAAUUUGUAUUCAUCUCUACAAGAGUUUUCUGAUGGUAAUUAAAGGAGGUUUUUGAAAUUCGAAUCUGACACAAGUGCAAAACAGACACGGUAAGCUACUAACUAUAGUGUUAGAUAUAUGCUCUUUACUAUAGACAUGGGAAAUAUAAAAUAUCUGCAGAUGAUUAGACAAUGUGAGUCUUCCCCUAUUCUCCCCUAUUAGCCAUUUGCAUACCUUAUUUAUAAUUAAGCACUUUCCUCUACUUCUAGGUAUGGUGGUCAUCACAUCCAGCUUCAUAGAUUAGCUAGCUAAUGGAUAUGUGCAAUUAUUUUCAGGUCAAGUGAAAAAAUAAACUUCUCGAUUUCCUGAUUUAACAUGAUCAUCGAGUUUUCCAUGAGGUAAGUUUGAUUCAUGAGGAAAAACUCUCAGAAGCAGCGUUCUUGGUGGCUUGGAGGCGCAGGUUUGUUUUUCUUGCAAUUUUGAUUCCUCGGAGUUCAGUGUGUACUUGGACUGAUGGUAUUUUACGCUUUUGGGUUGUUCCUUGGUUUGCUUGCAUGGAUUAUAGGUUUAAAAAAUUAGAAGC